AUUGAACGCUGGCGGAAUGCUUUACACAUGCAAGUCGAACGGUAGAGGGGGCAACCCCUCGAGAGUGGCGAACGGGUGAGUAAUAUAUCGGAACGUGCCCAGUCGUGGGGGAUAACGUAGCGAAAGUAACGCUAAUACAGCAUACGAUAUAAGGAUGAAAGCGGGGGAUCGCAAGACCUCGCGCGAUUGGAGCGGCCGAUAUCAGAUUAGGUAGUUGGUGGGGUAAAGGCUCACCAAGCCAACGAUCUGUAGCGGGUCUGAGAGGACGACCAGCCACACUGGAACUGAGACACGGUCCAGACUCCUACGGGAGGCAGCAGUGGGGGAUUUUGGACAAUGGACGCAAGUCUGAUCCAGCCAUUCCGCGUGCAGGAUGAAGGCCCUCGGGUUGUAAACUGCUUUUGUACGGAACGGAAAGGUCUCUCUUAAUACGGGGGGCUCAUGACGGUACCGUAAGAAUAAGCACCGGCUAACUACGUGCCAGCCGCCGCAGUAA
rnacentral:rRNA from 1 species